rnacentral:rRNA from 1 species
GCACCUGCGGUAAUUCCAGCUCCAAUAGCGUAUAUUAAAGUUGUUGCAGUUAAAAAGCUCGUAGUUGGAUUUCUGCCGAGGACGACCGGUCCGCCCUCUGGGUGCGUAUCUGGCUCGGCUCGGGCAUCUUCUUGGAGAACGUAUCUGCACUUGACUGUGUGGUGCGGUAUCCAGGACUUUUACUUUGAGGAGAUUAGAGUGUUUCAAGCAGGCACACGCCUUGAAUACAUUAGCAUGGAAUAAUAAGAUAGGACCUCGGUUCUAUUUUGUUGGUUUCUAGAGCUGAGGUAAUGAUUAAUAGGGAUAGUUGGGGGCAUUCGUAUUUAACUGUCAGAGGUGAAAUUCUUGGAUUUGUUAAAGACGGACCACUGCGAAAGCAUUUGCCAAGGAUGUUUUCAUCGAUCAAGAACGAAAGU